GUGUAAUAGCACGAAGCAUAGAAACCAUUUUUUAGGUGUGUGUAUUUCUUAUCGGUGAAUUCACAUUGCCAUGAAGGGAGUUAACCAUGCUGUUUUGCAACCUGUCUGCUUUUACCUCAGCUGCCUGGACCCACUGGAGAAGGAGGCUUGAAUGAAAGAAGUAAGAUGAAGCAACUUAAGGUUAUUCCUGCACCUCGCAUCUCACCGUAAUGUGCAUUGGCAGCAAUGUGAGAGCAGCUUGUUUAAAUCUACUAAACAAUGUAAAAAUGGAAGAGGAAAGUUAACAAACUAAGCUGAAAAUGAAAAUAUAUGUGUAAACAUU